rnacentral:rRNA from 1 species
GACGAACGCUGGCGGCGUGCUUAACACAUGCAAGUCGAACGCUGAAGCUCAGCUUGCUGGGUGGAUGAGUGGCGAACGGGUGAGUAACACGUGAGUAACCUGCCCUCUUCUUUGGGAUAACGCCCGGAAACGGGUGCUAAUACUGGAUAUUCACUGAUUCUCGCAUGGGGGUUGGUGGAAAGGUUUUUUCUGGUGGGGGAUGGGCUCGCGGCCUAUCAGCUUGUUGGUGGGGUGAUGGCCUACCAAGGCUUUGACGGGUAGCCGGCCUGAGAGGGUGACCGGUCACAGUGGGACGGAGAUACGGCCCAGACUCCUACGGGAGGCAGCAGUGGGGAAUAUUGCACAAUGGGCGAAAGCCUGAUGCAGCGACGCCGCGUGAGGGAUGGAGGCCUUCGGGUUGUAAACCUCUUUCGCUCAUGGUCAAGCCGCAGCUUUGGGUUGUGGUGAGGGUAGUGGGUAAAGAAGCGCCGGCUAACUACGUG